rnacentral:hammerhead_ribozyme from 1 species
AUUCAGCUGACGAAUUCGAAAUAGGACGAGACGUGCGUCAAACUGAAU